GUGUGUGGUACCCUACUGAAGAGACUGGCAAUCGUGUAUAAUUAAAAAUGAUUGGCAUCUCUGCUGGUGAAGUAACACGUGA
rnacentral:pre_miRNA from 1 species